rnacentral:lncRNA from 1 species
GGCCUAGAGCCUGCUUGUCUAGUUCAGUACAUGCCACUGUAUCAUCUUUCUCUACUCAGCUAGUGUGAUAAUAAUUGUCAUACUGUGGCUGUUUCCUAAGUGCCUUGGCAAGGGCAGACUCAGAUCAAACUUCUAGGACAAUACUUGGCAUUAACUAAACUUCAUUUUCCUAAUCCACUACUCUCAGUUCUCCUAUGCCUUCUAUUUGAUCUUUAUCCAACCCCCAUCAAGAUCACUUCCACUUAAUACUAGCUGAUGUAUUAUUGGGGUAAGGAAUUAAUGCAAUUAUACUGUGAUUCUGGGAAUUGAUUCUCAAAAUGUAAGAUUAUUAGUUCUUUUAUAUUAAUCUAGCCAGGUGUUUUCUGAAAGUAGUGAGCUGGACUAAAAGACAAUGUGCUUUUAUGUAUAAAGCUUGAAUGUUCUGAGUUGGUCUAUGAUUACAUUUUAAUGUAUGUAAUUCCAUCUUCCUGUCACUGUAUGUACACACUCUACUUAUAUCUAAGAGCUAAGCAGAUGUUAGAUAUCCAUUCCUUUUGACUUUAAAAAAAAAAUGGAAGAUUCUCUUCAAAUUUUGGCAUGUACCAGUAUCAGAAGAAAUUUUCCAUCUGAUUAAAAAGAUGUGUAAUUCUAAGCUUAACUUGAAAAUACAUCUAAAUUCUUCUAUAUGACAUAAUUUUUUUGUAAAACUCACUUCAAUAUAAAAUUAACUUAUUGCUGAUAUUGAGUUACUAUAAAUUUUUCCUUAGAAUUUGGUAUUGCACUGAAAAUAAAGACUAAUAUUAUACAGUAGAGAUACUUAGAAUAUGCAAAAGAUGUGCCUGGCUACCAUCUCUAUAAAAUAAAACAUAGAAAAAGAAAGAAAAGUGGUUGAUAUAACUUCAUAUACAAUAUUUUGAAUUGUGGCAUUUGUGAUCAAAUAUGUGUAUUUAAGAGUAUAUAUGCUAUGGAUUGGUCAUUUUAUGCUCUAACAAAUAUACAAUAUAUUUAGAGGCUUAACUAUAUUUGUCACAGAUCUAAGAUCAAAAUCCUUCCAAAUAUAGGGUUUUCAGAGAACCCUGCUCAUGGUUUAUUGAUGACUACCCUCUUCAUACAGAGGAUCUAAAAAUGAACAAUUGGGAGACCACCAUAUUGGCAUUGGAGCCAGCAUAAUAAUUUUAAGAUGACAAAAACUACACCCUACAUCAGACUUCUAUAAAUAGCUACAAGGUUGGUGGCUUAAGCUUUAAACACUGAUUCUGAAAUUUUGGAAAUUCAAAACAAAAACUUUGGUAAUAUGGUUUUAUUUUAGAGUGUCCAUCUCCUUUUGGCUUCAUAGUAGUCGCAUGUCUCCAAGUUAAGACAUCAUUUUUUUGGUACCCAUAUGGUGACUGUUUUCCAAUGUAUUUACAGAUAAGUUGACACUACCGUAUCUGAACACUCAUUAUCACUAUAUUUAACUUCCCCUUCUAUUUACUGUAACCAGAGUGAUUUUGAGCCUAAAACAUUUAUGUUUUACUAAAGAGAAAGAUAGAAGAUAGAUAGAUGGGCAAGUUGUUAUGUAUGUAUGUAUGCAUGUAUGUAUGUAUAUAUGUAUGUAUUUAUGUAGGUAGGUAGGUAAAUAAAUUGAAUAAUUGUUUCUUUAUACAUGCACAUAAAAGUUUAUAAAAUAGACAUAUAGUAUAUAUACAUAUGUGUAUGUAUGUAUAUAUAUAUUAGAUAGAUGAUAGGCAGAUAAUAGACAUGAUAAAUAAUCAUCAAUAGAGAAAAUAAAGAAAGAAUAAUUACAUAGUUAAUUAGAUUAUACAUAUAGAGAUAGAUAGACAGGCAAACAGUAGUACAAACAAAUACUUGAUAGAUAACUAGAACUACAAAGGCAAGACUUUAGACAAUAUUGUGGGUGGGCAUUCACACACAUAACUUAAGUUGACAGUGACUGAUACUAAUUAUGAACACUUUUCAGUACUAUAUUUUCAAAGGUUUAAAAUAUAGAUUUUUUUUCAGCAGGACAUGAAUCUUCUAACAAUGGUGAAACUUGAAACUAGAUCUGCCAUCUAGAUACUCCUGGAGGAUCCUGUGGGAAGCUUUGUUUUGUUUUCUACUUUCUUUGCUGGCAAGAUACAGUAAUAGAACAUGAAAGGGUAGGAAGAAGUAUUGUUUUCACUAGCACAACACCCUUAACAGUCUCUUUUGUAACCUGGUAUUGAAAAUUUUUUAGAAUGAGAAAUCUUGGAUCAAGACUAUUUUGACUAAGAAAGUAUGUACCCAGGAAUGGUGAUCAGUUUAUAUGUAGUAGAAUUUUUUAAUGAAAGUUCAUUUGAAAUGUAAAUGAGGAAAAUAUUUAAUAAAACAUUUAAAUACUAGAGAAAAAUAAAAGAAUGGUAGAUUUAGGAAAAUGAAAUAGUCUCAUUUUUCUUCUGGGAAAUGUUCAAGUUAUAAGCAGGAAAGCACCAAAACCUUGAAACUGAUGAUUUCCAUAUAAAUUAUUCAUAAAUAAAUGUGAUUAAAAUGAUUAAAACUUGUGUUUUGUGUAAAUUCAAUACUCUUAGUAAAAGACAAAAGAAAAAACUAGUAGAAUUAGCUGCCUUAGCCAAGAAGGGGUUUGCAACCCCUUAGGAAGAACAGCAAUAUCAAUCAACCAGACUACCAGAGCUCCCAGAAACUUAACCACCAGCC